AUUGAACGCUGGCGGCAGGCUUAACACAUGCAAGUCGAGCGGGGGAAGGUAGCUUGCUACCGGACCUAGCGGCGGACGGGUGAGUAAUGCUUAGGAACCUGCCUAUUAGUGGGGGACAACAUCUCGAAAGGGAUGCUAAUACCGCAUACGUCCUACGGGAGAAAGCAGGGGAUCUUCGGACCUUGCGCUAAUCGAUGAGCCUAAGUCGGAUUAGCUAGUUGGUGGGGUAAAGGCCUACCAAGGCGACGAUCUGUAGCGGGUCUGAGAGGAUGAGCCGCAACACUGGGACUGAGACACGGCCCAGACUCCUACGGGAGGCAGCAGUGGGGAAGAUUGGACAAUGGGGGGAACCCUGAUCCAGCCAUGCCGCGUGUGUGAAGAAGGCCUUAUGGUUGCAAAGCACUUUAAGCGAGGAGGAGGCUACUCUAGUUAAUACCUAGGGAUAGUGGACGUUACUCGCAGAAUAAGCACCGGCUAACUCUGUGCCAGCCGCCGUAAUAC
rnacentral:rRNA from 1 species